UACGGAGGAUGCAAGCGUUAUCCGGAUUCAUUGGGUUUAAAGGGUGCGUAGGCGGAAUAAUAAGUCAGUGGUGAAAGCCUGCGGCUUAACCGUAGAAUUGCCAUUGAUACUGUUAUUCUUGAGUAUAGUUGAGGUGGGCGGAAUGUGUAAUGUAGCGGUGAAAUGCUUAGAUAUUACACAGAACACCAAUUGCGAAGGCAGCUCACUAAGCUGUUACUGACGAUGAGGCACGAAAGAGUGGGGAGCAAACAGG
rnacentral:rRNA from 1 species